AAGUUAAUGAACGAUGUACCUCAUAUAAUCUCGGGGAUAAGGCCCGUAAGUUUCUACCUGACCACCUUAAAUGGUCGGACUAUGAGGGAAGAUUGGACAUAC
rnacentral:ncRNA from 2 species